CCCAAAUGUCCUUCCCUUUCUGCAGGCUUCACGAAGCUGUGGAGCUGAACAGGACUCCCACCUCCUCUUCCGCCCAGCCCAUCCCUCCUCCUCGGUUGCAUUUUUCAUGUGUCUCCCAGUGGAGGAAUAUGCUGGCUGGUACGCAGCCUGUGCUUUUUACAAGGCUGAGAUGAACACUCAAGAAGAAAAAGACGGACCCUGAGGAUGUGCAGUUUAUUCAGUAAAAGACACAUGGCCGUCAACCGCCUUCAGAGGCUCCCCCUCACUCGAAGCACUUUCUCGCCACUUUCUGAAGCACUUUGGAAAUCCUCUUUCAUGAGGCUCUUCAGUUUCGCCGUUGUGGCUGCCUCGGUGUCCUGACUCAAGGCAAAACCUACCCUUUCAUGGUUAUUUUGACUUUGGGGAAGAACCGCACACAUAUGAUACAAAAUCUCGUGAAUAAGGUGGAUGAGGACACGUCAUAAUGCUUUUAAUGGGCCUGUUUUUUUGUUAGAUGGCACCAGACUGCAGCAUUUAUGGGUUUUGUGUUGUGUUUUGUUUUUGUUUUAUCACACAUCGCCAAGACCCUCAUGAAAGAGGACUUCUAACUGCUUCAGAAAAUGUCAAGAACAACAAGUCCUCAUGGUCGGGGAUAUUUGGAGGGGUUAAUGGCAAUGUAUACUUUAUUGUAAUAAAUUUCUUAGGCAUUCAACCAAAAAAAGUUGGGAGGAGAGCAGAAGGGAAUGUCAAAAGCACUGAGAUGUGUAAUGCGCAUGGGCCAGCUCCCCAUGAUGAAUGUGUUGCAAAUGUGUACUCAUGAAAAAUUUAAAAAUAAAU